CUUUAGAAGGACUUCCUGUUGUCGCGUUUAAACGUUUGAUAUUUUACGAUGAAAAGAACGCCUAAGCCAUCGGGAUCAGCAUUCCGAAAGCGAAGGAAGGAAGAAGAAUAAAAACGGGCCCAAAGCAGAGCGUCUUCAUCCAGGCAUCACGCAGCAGCAGCAGCACAUUACUGAGCUACAGUCUCAGCAUCUAGAACCAGAAGAGGAACCCAACACCACACCAGCAGACUCAGUGCUCCAAUCCAACAGCCUGAAGAAACACCAUCAUCAGCUUCAACAGAUGUCUGUGAACAUGUAUGAGCUGCUGGCCCCAUGGAUCCUGCUGACUGGCCACAGCAGUUGAACAAAAUGGAAAGUAGAACUUUCUUUAUGAUGACACUUUGAUGUUUGAGUUUUGCUUUUGAUUGCACAGUUGUUGAUUUUGCAUCCCCCCCAAUGACAUUUGCACAACAUUUUGAGUUGUUGGUUAUUGUAAUAUUCUCAGGUUACUCAUCUUUGAAGCUUACAUUUAUUCUUCAGGCUGUUGACUUUAAAGAGUUGCUGUGUGAACAUUUAAAAUAAAAAAUUAGUAACUAA